AGUGAACGCUGGCGGUAGGCCUAACACAUGCAAGUCGAACGGCAGCACGGUAAGAGCUUGCUCUUACGGGUGGCGAGUGGCGGACGGGUGAGGAAUACAUCGGAAUCUACUUUUUCGUGGGGGAUAACGUAGGGAAACUUACGCUAAUACCGCAUACGACCUACGGGUGAAAGCAGGGGAUCUUCGGGCCUUGCGCGAUUGAAUGAGCCGAUGUCGGAUUAGCUAGUUGGCGGGGUAAAGGCCCACCAAGGCGACGAUCCGUAGCUGGUCUGAGAGGAUGAUCAGCCACACUGGAACUGAGACACGGUCCAGACUCCUACGGGAGGCAGCAGUGGGGAAUAUUGGACAAUGGGCGCAAGCCUGAUCCAGCCAUACCGCGUGGGUGAAGAAGGCCUUCGGGUUGUAAAGCCCUUUUGUUGGGAAAGAAAAGCAGCAGGUUAAUACCCCGCUGUUCUGACGGUACCCAAAGAAUAAGCACCGGCUAACUUCGUG
rnacentral:rRNA from 1 species